rnacentral:rRNA from 1 species
UACGGGGGGGGGCAAGCGUUGUUCGGAAUUACUGGGCGUAAAGGGCUCGUAGGUGGCCAACUAAGUCAGACGUGAAAUCCCUCAGCUUAACUGGGGAACUGCGUCUGAUACUGGAUGGCUUGAGUUUGGGAGAGGGAUGCGGAAUUCCAGGUGUAGCGGUGAAAUGCGUAGAUAUCUGGAGGAAUACCGGUGGCGAAGGCGGCAUCCUGGACCAACACUGACACUGAUGAGCGAAAGCCAGGGGAGCAAACGGG